rnacentral:siRNA from 1 species
CGAAGAUCUGGUCUAGUAGAUCAC